GGAUGUUACGCACUCCGGUGCAGUAGGUGGCUGCAUGCACCUUUUAGCUUUGGGUUGUAGUCUGCCAGUAAAACUCAAAGAAGAAGAAGCGAAACGUUCUGCAACAAGCUGGACUAGAUGCAAAGUAUGUCGUAAGGGAUCAUAUUAAAAGUAUUUCACUGAGUCUAUUUAAACCAUACAUUUAAACACAUUGAAUCGUCCUUUUGGAAACUCGGAUUUUGGAGCAACAUGGCGGCUACGGAAACUGGGGAUGGACACCAACGGCUGACCACCAAUCAAGUCCCGUCUGUCCAAGAAGCUGGCGCGGUAACACACUGCACGUUGUUACGGCUGUAUACAUCUAUUAUUACGUCGCUAUAUGAAGACAUUGAUUAUAACAUAACGCUACUAGAAAAGUUAUUUCAUGAGCAUAGUGGUUAGUUGUUGUGUCACUCUAAUGGCUAGCUAACCGUAGUGAGCUAACGGGCAGGCAGAGAUGUUUGCAGACUUGUAAUGCAGGUAGCGUUAGCUUAGCAAAUGGUGAGCUAGUUAUUCUCUUGUUUACUGGUCAUGUAAUUAGUCAACACGUCAUUAUAACAUGGCUGAAUCCAAGGAAGGAACUCAGACGGAGGUAACAGACGGAGAGUCAAUGGAAGCUGUUUCAGAGCCGGGAGCAUCAGUGGAUGUCGGAGACCCAGAGCUGGUUCACGCAGCUUCUCAUAGACUCUCUGAACAUGGAGAGGAGGAUGCCUUUGUUGCUGCUUCAAAAGACAUGGAAAGUAAAGAAAUUGAACAUAAAGAAACUUUCUCCCCAGAAGAGACUGUCAACAGAGUUUUGGUUCACGGUGGUGAGCCAAGUAGCACCUCAGAGUCAGAAAGAGAAGAAGGUCCUGAGGUGAAAACUGAGGAAGAGUUUGAGUUGAAUGAAGACAAUGUGCCAGUAAAGGACAACAGCUUAGAAGAAAAUCCUGCAGGACCGAAUGUGAGCGAGGAAACAAAUAUGCACAAGACUUCUGAAGAAAUAACAAACACAGACAUAAAGAUGGACCCAGACAUUGACACUACAGAGGACAUCGACACACAGCAGGAGAAGGAGUCUCCUGGCAGUAAAUUGAGGGUUUCUACAGUGGACGACCUUGAUGAGAUGAUGGACAUUGGUACAGUGGAUCAGGUGGAACAGGAAGCUCAGAUGAAAGAGGAGCAAGAGAAUCAUUUGAUGGACGUGGAUUGCAGCCGUUCACCUGCCAUUUUAAAUACAGGUAAAGUAAAGCACAAGUUUUUAUCACAAAGGUUUUCUGUUUCAUGACACAGAGAAACAUCAUCUUUCUGUGAAGGUAAAUAAAGCACUGCUCUAUAGCAUCCCACUCAUUUCUGUUUAAAAAAAUUCCCUGACAGUCUCAGUGGCAGAGGACAGUAACUCUGUUGAGGAGGAAGUCGAUGUGAAACCCCCUGUAUUACCACUACCUGCAGAGGAGGAGCAGGAAGUGAAGGAAGUGAAAGUGGCUUUAGAGUUGAUUCGGUCCAGCUCAUCUCUGUCGUCUGAAGCCACGGCCAGUACAGGUGAGCGACCUCAGAGCAAUGGUUAAGUGUUUUACACCAGUGUGUGAUUAAAGUAGGAAAUUCUCAUCUCCCUUACAGGUUUACCUACCAGUCAAGUUUUUAGAUGACUUAAAACGGAGGAUAGCUACCAGAUUUUUGAG
ensembl:lncRNA